AUCCAGCUGAGAAGUCUCAAACAGGACGAAACGCGCGUCCUGGAU
rfam:Schistosoma haematobium scaffold214_47, whole genome shotgun sequence.